rnacentral:tRNA from 1 species
UGUGGUGUAGCUCAUUAGAAAAGCAGUUGCCUAGCAUGUGUCAAACCCUAGGUUCAAUCCCCAGCACCACAU